UACGGAGGGUGCAAGCGUUAUCCGGAUUCACUGGGUUUAAAGGGUGCGUAGGCGGGCAGGUAAGUCCGUGGUGAAAUCUCUGAGCUUAACUCAGAAACUGCCAUGGAUACUAUUUGUCUUGAAUGUUGUGGAGGUAAGCGGAAUAUGUCAUGUAGCGGUGAAAUGCUUAGAUAUGACAUAGAACACCAAUUGCGAAAGGCAGCUUACUACACAAAUAUUGACGCUGAGGCACGAAAGCGUGGGGGAUCAAACAGG
rnacentral:rRNA from 1 species